UGGAAUAGCGUAAACAAAAGA
rnacentral:piRNA from 1 species